rnacentral:rRNA from 1 species
UACGUAGGGUGCGAGCGUUAAUCGGAAUUACUGGGCGUAAAGCGUGCGCAGGCGGUUAUGUAAGACAGUUGUGAAAUCCCCGGGCUCAACCUGGGCAUUGCAUCCGAUACUGGCUGACUAGAGUGUGGGAGAGGAAGGUAGAAUUCCAGGUGUAGCGGUGAAAUGCGUAGAGAUCUGGAGGAAUACCGAUGGCGAAGGCAGCCUUCUGGCCUAACACUGACGCUGAGGUGCGAAAGCAUGGGGAGCAAACAGG